GUGGCGAUGCCCGUCUCCUUGGGCCCAUCCCCAUCGGCUGUGGCCAUCAUCCUUGUUGAGGUGCAAGCACCUCAGCCAUCCAUGGCUCAUGCUCUGACCCCUCCUAUUAUUACAAAGUGGUGGUUUCGUACACGUAGUUUAAAAAUUUUGAUAAAUCAGAAUUUAUGCAGUAAAAAUAAAAUAAAUUAAAACUUUUUUAAUUUAAAUCACAUAUCAGAUCGGAUUUGAAAAUCAUGCUUAGAAUCUUGAUACGAACAUGUCACCAUGAAUCUGAAAUCAAAACAAAAGGUCAGUAAAGUAAAUUCGAUGGUAUCCACACGAAGAUGCCUGAUCGGAGCACCAACACCUUAUGGGUCUCGCUCCUCUGCUUUAGAUCUUACCCCAUUGCUAUUAGAAACAAUUGAACAGGGCCUUGUACAAGCCCUUUGUGCUGAAUCGCAGGG
rnacentral:lncRNA from 1 species